GCGCCGCUCCUGGCCAACGUCUACCCCUACUUCUCCUACGUCGGGAACCAGGCACAGAUCGACAUCAACUACGCGCUCUUCACCUCCCCAGGCACCGUCGUGCAGGACGGCGGCAACGCCUACCAGAACCUCUUCGACGCGCUCGUCGACACCUUCUACUCCGCACUCGAGAACGCAGGGGCGGGGAGCGUCGGCAUCGUCGUGUCCGAGAGCGGCUGGCCGUCGGCGGGGGGCGACGCGGCUAGCACGGACAACGCGCGGACCUACAACCAGAACCUCAUCAACCAUGUCGGACAGGGCACGCCCAAGCGCCCCGGGGCAAUCGAGACCUACAUCUUCGCCAUGUUCAACGAGGACCAGAAGCCCGGAGCCGAGACGGAGAAGCAUUUCGGCUUGUUCAACCCG
rnacentral:lncRNA from 1 species